rnacentral:rRNA from 1 species
UACGAAGGGGGCUAGCGUUGUUCGGAUUUACUGGGCGUAAAGCGCACGUAGGCGGAUCGUUAAGUCGGGGGUGAAAUCCUGGAGCUCAACUCCAGAACUGCCUUCGAUACUGGCGAUCUUGAGUCCGGAAGAGGUGAGUGGAACUCCUAGUGUAGAGGUGGAAUUCGUAGAUAUUAGGAAGAACACCAGUGGCGAAGGCGGCUCACUGGACCGGUAUUGACGCUGAGGUGCGAAAGCGUGGGGAGCAAACAGG